GGAGCGUGGAAUUUUAUGAGUGAUGAAAGGACAUAUAUAAACAUUAAGGGUCAAGAAUUGGAAUAACUUGCGAAGUCAUUAAUGUCUUACUUAAUUCUUCACACACACACACACAUCGAUUUUGCAUUGGAAGAGUGGAUAUUGGUUUGGUAUCAUGACUUUGAAACGGUUUGUAGAUUUAAUACCGUGAUCUUUAUUUUGAUGGUAAAAUGCUAAACUGUCCAACCAAAAUUUUUUGCAUGCUUGUGUGUUGGUUAUUAUUUAGUUUAUACUUUUGUUCGAUGACAAACAAAAGUUUAAGUUUGGGGGUAUUUGAUGAGUGCAAAUUAUGCACUUAUUUAGACAAUUUUAUUAAACUUUUAUGUCGUCAAAUUAUUAAUUUCUAUUUAACUUAAGUUAAUUUUAGUUUGUUUUUAGUGAUGGACUCGUUUGGAGCAAAUGAAAAAGGAUGAAGAACAAAUUGGCUAGUGGAUGCAAUAUUAAAGAUCAAAUUCAACACUUGAAAAAUUGAAAAGGACGUUGAUUGCACAAUGGAGGAACUCAAGGACUACAUUGCAUUAACUUAGAAGUUGAAUUACUUGAAGAAAAUAAUUUAUUAAUUGGGACUCCAAUGGAAUCAAAUUUUAAUAAGAAUUCAAAAGGCUGGGAAGUCCAAUUAUAAAUUGGACCUUCGACUGCUAACAAAUUGAAAAGGAAUUUGGAGUCAACCACGUGGGCCACUUGGGGAUUCAACUCAUAUAAAGUAUCAACAAGGGCUGCCUACUGUAGGGAGAUAGAUACACAUGUAGGAGACAAAAAAAGGGCAGCCAAUAUCUUAUAUACUUGCACGAAAAUUGGAGCAGCUAAAUCCCUUUUUUUUUUUUUGUCAAAUUUGGUAGCUACUUAAUUAUUUUUGGAGAGAGAUUUAUACGUAUAGGUAGAGAGGAAUUUGGGGAGCCAAUUAUAUAGUAUAUAUUUUGCACAAACUUGAGGCGGCCGGGGAG
rnacentral:lncRNA from 1 species